rnacentral:rRNA from 1 species
CCGCUGGAACUUAAGCAUAUCAAUAAGCGGAGGAAAAGAAACCAACAGGGAUUGCCUCAGUAACGGCGAGUGAAGCGGCAACAGCUCAAAUUUGAAAUCUGGCUCUUUCAGGGUCCGAGUUGUAAUUUGUAGAAGAUGCUUUGGGUGUAGCUCCGGUCUAAGUUCCUUGGAACAGGACGUCAUAGAGGGUGAGAAUCCCGUACGUGACUGGGUGCUUUCGCUCGUGUAAAGCUCUUUCGACGAGUCGAGUUGUUUGGGAAUGCAGCUCAAAAUGGGUGGUAAAUUUCAUCUAAAGCUAAAUAUUGGCCAGAGACCGAUAGCGCACAAGUAGAGUGAUCGAAAGAUGAAAAGCACUUUGGAAAGAGAGUUAAACAGUACGUGAAAUUGUUGAAAGGGAAGCGCUUGCAACCAGACUUGCACGCUGUUGAUCAUCCGAGGUUUUUCCCCGGUGCACUCGGCAGCGUUCAGGCCAGCAUCGGUUUUGGUGGGCGGAUAAAGGCCUUGGGAAUGUAGCUUCUUUCGGGGAGUGUUAUAGCCCUCGGUGCAAUGCGCCCUACCGGGACCGAGGACCGCGCUUCGGCUAGGAUGCUGGCGUAAUGGUUGUAAGCGACCCGUCUGAAAACACGGA